CUCCUGCAGUCGAGCGGUACAGGUGUAGCAAUACAUGCUGACGAGCGGCGGACGGGUGAGUAACGCUAGGGAAUCUGCCUGUUAGUGGGGGACAACACGGGGAAACUCGUGCUAAUACCGCAUACGCACUACGGUGGAAAGCCGGGGACCGCAAGGCCUGGCGCUAACAGAUGAGCCCAAGUCGGAUUAGCUAGUUGGUAGGGUAACGGCCUACCAAGGCGACGAUCCGUAACUGGUCUGAGAGGACGACCAGUCACACCGGAACUGAGACACGGUCCGGACUCCUACGGGAGGCAGCAGUGGGGAAUAUUGGACAAUGGGGGAAACCCUGAUCCAGCGACGCCGCGUGGGUGAAGAAGGCCUGCGGGUUGUAAAGCCCUUUCGGUUGGGAAGAAAAGCUGUGACCUAACACGUUGCGGCCUUGACGUAACCAACUAAAGAAGCACCGGCUAACUCUGUGCCAGCAGCCGCGGUAAUACAGAGGGUGCGAGCGUUAAUCGGAAUUACUGGGCGUAAAGCGCGCGUAGGCGGCUUUGCAAGCCGGAUGUGAAAUCCCCGGGCUUAACCUGGGAACUGCAUUCGGGACUGCAUUGCUAGAGUAUGGGAGAGGGAAGUGGAAUUUCAGGUGUAGCGGUGAAAUGCGUAGAUAUCUGAAGGAACAUCAGUGGCGAAAGCGACUUCCUGGACCAAUACUGACGCUCAUGUGCGAAAGCGUGGGGAGCAAACAGGAUUAGAUACCCUGGUAGUCCACGCCAUAAACGAUGAGAACUGGAUGUCGGGAGGGUCUGCCUCUCGGUGUCGUAGCUAACGCGUUAAGUUCUCCGCCUGGGGAGUACGGCCGCAAGGUUGA
rnacentral:rRNA from 1 species